CGCUGAUUGGUUGAGUUUGUCCGCGAGGCGCCUGAGCGGGGCGAGUUUGAAACUAGUGGAGAAGUUAACAAGGAGACUGAGUUGAGAAUAUCAAACGAUGACAAUUUACACUCCUCCGAGAAGGUGUUCGGCAUCAAGACGUCACAGAUGGAAUUGUUCCAGGAUGUUGCCACGUCCCUCGUUGAUGACCUCAUUCACAACAAGAACGGUGUUCACGGCGGACGAGAAGAAUGGUAUGGAGGUCCACAAUCGCUUAGAUGCUCUGUCGGAGCGUCAGAACAGGAAGUACCAGCCAACGGGAGUGUCAGAACAGGAAGUACCAGCCAACGGGAGUGUCAGAACAGGAAGUACCAGCCAACGGGAGUGUCAGAACAGGAAGUACCAGCCAACGGGAGUGUCAGAACAGGAAGUACCAGCCAACGUCUGAGCUGCAACUCGUUUCUGUUUUCCGAUGUGAUUUAUCAUCCUAACUGACAACCGCAGACAUCAAAUGUCUGUAUAGUUUCCUAUUAGAGUAGUAGUUAUCUCCUGGUAGUUAUCUCCGGGUCCUAUUGGCUACUGUAUGGUAUAGUUAUCUCCUGGUAGUUAUCUCCGGGUCCUAUUGGCUACUGUAUGGUAUAGUUAUCUCCUGGUAGUUAUCUCCGGGUCCUAUUGGCUACUGUAUGGUAUAGUUAUCUCCUGGUAGUUAUCUCCGGGUCCUAUUGGCUACUGUAUGGUAUAGUUAUCUCCUGGUAGUUAUCUCCGGGUCCUAUUGGCUACUGUAUGGUAUAGUUAUCUCCUGGUAGUUAUCUCCUGGUCCUACUGGCUACUGUAUGGUAUAGUUAUCUCCUGGUAGUUAUCUCCUGGUCCUAUUGGCUAAUGUAUGGUAUAGUUAUCUCCUGGUAGUUAUCUCCGGGUCCUAUUGGCUACUGUAUGGUAUAGUUAUCUCCUGGUAGUUAUCUCCUGGUCCUACUGGCUACUGUAUGGUAUAGUUAUCUCCUGGUAGUUAUCUCCGGGUCCUAUUGGCUACUGUAUGGUAUAGUUAUCUCCUGGUCCUACUGGCUACUGUAUGGUAUAGUUAUCUCCGGGUAGUUAUCUCCGGGUCCUAUUGGCUACUGUAUGGUAUAGUUAUCUCCUGGUAGUUAUCUCCGGGUCCUAUUGGCUACUGUAUGGUAUAGUUAUCUCCUGGUAGUUAUCUCCGGGUCCUAUUGGCUACUGUAUGGUAUAGUUAUCUCCUGGUAGUUAUCUCCUGGUCCUAUUGGCUACUGUAUGGUAUAGUUAUCUCCUGGUAGUUAUCUCCUGGUCCUAUUGGCUACUGUAUGGUAUAGUUUCCUAUUAGAGUAGUAGUUAUCUCCGGGUACUACUGGCUACUGUAUGGUAUAGUUAUCUCCGGGUCCUACUGGCUACUGUAUGGUAUAGUUAGUUAUCUCCUGGUCCUACUGGCUACUGUAUGGUAUAGUUAUCUCCGGGUCCUACUGGCUACUGUAUGGUAUAGUUAUCUCCGGGUCCUACUGGCUACUGUAUGGUAUAGUUAUCUCCGGGUCCUACCGGCUACUGUAUGGUAUAGUUAUCUCCUGGUCCUACUGGCUACUGUAUGGUAUAGUUAUCUCCGGGUCCUACUGGCUACUGUAUGGUAUAGUUAUCUCCGGGUCCUACUGGCUACUGUAUGGUAUAGUUAUCUCCGGGUCCUACCGGCUACUGUAUGGUAUAGUUAUCUCCGGGUACUACUGGCUACUGUAUGGUAUAGUUAUCUCCGGGUCCUACUGGCUACUGUAUGGUAUAGUUAUCUCCGGGUACUACUGGCUACUGUAUGGUAUAGUUAUCUCCGGGUACUACUGGCUACUGUAUGGUAUAGUUAUCUCCGGGUCCUACCGGCUACUGUAUGGUAUAGUUAUCUCCGGGUACUACUGGCUACUGUAUGGUAUAGUUAUCUCCUGGUCCUACUGGCUACUGUAUGGUAUAGUUAUCUCCGGGUCCUACCGGCUACUGUAUGGUAUAGUUAUCUCCUGGUCCUACUGGCUACUGUAUGGUAUAGUUAUCUCCUGGUAGUUAUCUCCGGGUCCUAUUGGCUACUGUAUGGUAUAGUUUCCUAUUAGAGUAGUAGUUAUCUCCGGGUCCUAUUGGCUACUGUAUGGUAUAGUUAUCUCCGGGUACUACCGGCUACUGUAUGGUAUAGUUAUCUCCGGGUACUACUGGCUACUGUAUGGUAUAGUUAUCUCCGGGUACUACUGGCUACUGUAUGGUAUAGUUAUCUCCGGGUCCUACCGGCUACUGUAUGGUAUAGUUAUCUCCGGGUACUACUGGCUACUGUAUGGUAUAGUUAUCUCCUGGUAGUUAUCUCCGGGUCCUAUUGGCUACUGUAUGGUAUAGUUAUCUCCUGGUAGUUAUCUCCGGGUCCUAUUGGCUACUGUAUGGUAUAGUUAUCUCCUGGUAGUUAUCUCCGGGUCCUACCGGCUACUGUAUGGUAUAGUUAUCUCCUGGUCCUACUGGCUACUGUAUGGUAUAGUUAUCUCCUGGUAGUUAUCUCCGGGUCCUAUUGGCUACUGUAUGGUAUAGUUAUCUCCUGGUCCUACUGGCUACUGUAUGGUAUAGUUAUCUCCUGGUGCUACUGUAUGGUAUAGUUAUAUCCUGGUCCUACUGGCUACUGUAUGGUAUAGUUAUCUCCUGGUAGUUAUCUCCUGGUCCUACUGGCUACUGUAUGGUAUAGUUAUAUCCUGGUCCUACUGGCUACUGUAUGGUAUAGUUAUCUCCUGGUCCUACUGGCUACUGUAUGGUAUAGUUAUCUCCUGGUACUACUGGCUACUGUAUGGUAUAGUUAUCUCCUGGUCCUACUGGCUACUGUAUGGUAUAGUUAUCUCCUGGUCCUACUGGCUACUGUAUGGUAUAGUUAUCUCCGGGUCCUACUGGCUACUGUAUGGUAUAGUUAUCUCCGGGUACUACUGGCUACUGUAUGGUAUAGUUAUCUCCUGGUCCUACUGGCUACUGUAUGGUAUAGUUAUCUCCUGGUCCUACUGGCUACUGUAUAGUAUAGUUUCCUAUUAGAGUAGUAGUUAUAUAUAUAUAGUUCACUAAAGCUUAUUUACAAUAUUGAAUAUUUAGUUGUGUGAUCACAUAUGAAGCCAGAACGAGCUGAAUAUAUGCAUGAUGAUUCAGCCAAAGAUGGACUGCGGUAUUGUGUUUCAUAACUAACGGUCCCACAAUGCAACAAUGUGGUUCCUUUUGUUUUCACUCGUACCUUUCGGAUUUUCUCAGCGCUAGUUUUUUUCAGGACCGUUGCAUUUCUCGUUACCUGACAGACAGUGGGACGUCACUGAAGAGUAGCGGUGUCCCAUUGUAUUCUCGUUACCUGACAGACAGUGGGACAUCACUGAAGAGUAGCGGUG